AUACUUACCUGGACGGGGUUAAUGGGCGAUCAAGAAGGCUCAUGGCCUAGAUUAGUGGCCUCCAUUGCACUUAGGAGGAACGCUCGUCUACCAUCUCCCCAAGUGGGAGAGUGGACGUCAUAAUUUGUUGUGGCAGAGGGGGUACGCGUUCGCGCGGCCCCUAC
rnacentral:snRNA from 1 species